rnacentral:rRNA from 1 species
AGCGAACGCUGGCGGCAGGCCUAACACAUGCCAGUCGAACGAACUCUUCGGAGUUAGUGGCGGACGGGUGAGUAACACGUGGGAACGUGCCUUUUGGUUCGGAAUAACUCAGGGAAACUUGUGCUAAUACCGAAUGUGCCCUUCGGGGGAAAGAUUUAUCGCCAUUAGAGCGGCCCGCGUCUGAUUAGCUAGUUGGUGAGGUAACGGCUCACCAAGGCGACGAUCAGUAGCUGGUCUGAGAGGAUGACCAGCCACACUGGGACUGAGACACGGCCCAGACUCCUACGGGAGGCAGCAGUGGGGAAUCUUGCGCAAUGGGCGAAAGCCUGACGCAGCCAUGCCGCGUGAAUGAUGAAGGUCUUAGGAUUGUAAAUUCUUUCACCGGGGACGAUAAUGACGGUACCCGGAGAAGAAGCCCCGGCUAACUUCGUG